UACACGCUACUGAUCCCUGAUGGGAGAAUCAUCACCUCUGCCAACAAAGAAGCCUGGUGGAUGUUUGUUUGCAGUCUGAUGAUGGGACAUCAUGCUGUGCAUCUUCAAAGUUUGUCUCUUGAUUAUUAUUCAUACACAGUAAUGUGAAGCCUGCUCAUAUCUAGUAUAACUGGACCAACCUGGUGCUCUUCAUUUAUGGAGGCUGUUGAGUCUGAAUGUUGGAUGUUGUGUAUCUUGUGUUCUCUGGGCUUUGUUGUCCUCAGUCUUUUUGCAGGAUCAGAAAACAAAACCAGGAGACCUGUAAAUGUUUCUUCUCCAAUUGGAUGAUGAUAAGACUGUGACACGGGAUGCCACCUUUAGUCUUGUGAUGAAGCAAAGCUCAGGAAGAAGUGUGAUUAAAUGGUACCCACAUGUGUGCUGCUGAGAAGGAUGUACAGGGGCACCUGCAGCCAAAUCCAAGCCUCCUCAGCAACUUCAGGUCUGUCAGCGUGCUGAGGUCACAGAAACAAGAAAAGCAGCUUGACUUCAGAGUGUUGUUUACAGUUUUCUGUCAUCAUGAUCUCCCCUGAAUUUAUCACUAUUAUACAAGCAAUGGUGACGGUGUGGAGAGACGGUGGUGUUUCCUCAGAAGAACUAGCAGAGUCACAAAGGGCACGAGUCCUUCUCACCACCUUGACUUGCUGACUGAUGCUCGUCUGCACUGCACAGAGGAAAUCAACUGACCGAGGUAAAUCUCCAGUUUCUGAGUGAGGGAGAGAGGAGUCAUCAUCCAGGUAAAGUGACGUGGUUCAGUGGAUACACUUGUCUCCCCUUUAAAGGAGAUACUCUUAGAGAGAGAUGAUCCGAGUCAUCAUAAAAUAUGGGCAGGAUAUCACUAUUAGACUGUCUAACCUGCCGGAGCAGCACUGAAUGAUCACCACACAUGAGCAUGUUCCUGCAACAUUCAGCAGCUUUGCUUUUGUGUCAAAUGUCAACCAGCUGGAGAGGAAACUACACCAGUGUACUGGGAUGUUUCAGCAACACGUGCCAGAUGCUGUUCCUUCAUGGUGACAUCACCAGAGACAGCCCCGCCCACCUCAGGACCUCGCCAUUGAUCAUGAUGAUUAUAAUAAUGACAGCGAGCGGAACUAAGACUGUAAAAAUCCACGACCAGAAUGUUUAGAUGCUUUCUAAUUAUUAAUGAAUACCGAGAGCCUCUUUCUGUGUUUUGUCUGUUUUGUUUUUUUUUUACCUCAUUUGUUACUAACAAAGUUCACCAAACUCACACAGUUUACAUUCUGUAUGUUUCCAUCUUUACCAGCCACACUCUACCCGCAAUUAAGCAAAUAAUCCUUAGAAAUCGUCGUUUUUCUCUUUUGUAAUUGAUGAUAAUUCAGUGAAGAUACUCUGCUGCUUCCUUUUAUUGCAUCUCACAUUGCUUUAAGUUUUUCAGUGUCCAGUUAUUUUUUUACUGCUGUUUGAAUUCUCUGUAUGUUUGACCCUGUAGACUGUUUAAUGGACUGCUUGUCUUCCUGUUUGUAACCACCGCCUGUUUUUGACUAAAGAUUUGGAUU